AGCCUCGCAGCUCAGCUGGUAGAGUGUGCACUGUACAAUAGCGUAGGCAGCAUCCAUGCGUAGGUUCGAAUCCCACCGAGGCUA
rnacentral:tRNA from 1 species